rnacentral:rRNA from 1 species
AGGACGAACGCUGGCGGCGUGCUUAACACAUGCAAGUCGAGCGGUAAGGCCUUUCGGGGUACGCGAGCGGCGAACGGGUGAGUAACACGUGGGUGAUCUGCCCUGCACUUCGGGAUAAGCCUGGGAAACUGGGUCUAAUACCGGAUAUGACUUCAGGUUGCAUGACUUGGGGUGGAAAGAUUUAUCGGUGCAGGAUGGGCCCGCGGCCUAUCAGCUUGUUGGUGGGGUAAUGGCCUACCAAGGCGACGACGGGUAGCCGACCUGAGAGGGUGACCGGCCACACUGGGACUGAGACACGGCCCAGACUCCGUACGGGAGGCAGCAGUGGGAAUAUGCACAAGUGGGACGAAAGCCUGAUGCAGCGACGCCGCGUGGAGGAUGGACGGUCCGUUCGGGUUCGUAAAACCUUCUUUACACGGCGAACGGGACGAAGCGACAAGUGACGGUACCUGACAGGACGGAAGCGACCGGACUAACGUACGUCGCCACGC